rnacentral:rRNA from 1 species
GUAGUCAUAUGCUUGUCUCUGAGACUAAGCCAUGCAUGUCUAAGUAUAAACAAAUUUGUACUGUAAAACUGCGGACGGCUCAUUAAAUCAGUUACAAUCUACUUGAUCGUAUAUUCAAAGAAUUAAUCGGGUAACCCUAGUAAUUCUAGAGCUAAUACGUGCAAAAAGCUCCGACCUCUUUUAACCGAGGGGAAAGAGUGUAUUUAUUAGGUAACUUAAAACCAAUCAGCCCAAAAGGCUGUUUUGUUGAUGAUUCAUAAUAACUUUGCAAAUCGCGGGCCAAUGUCUGCGAUGAUACAAACGAGUUUCUGACCUAUCAACUUUAGAUGGCAGGAUAGGGGCUUGCCAUGGUGACAACGGGUAACGGGGAAUA